UGAAGUUUUUUCAGAGUAGCAGCUUGUGUUAGUCUGUUCCGCAAAAGACAAGAGUACUUGUGGACCUUCAGAGACUAAAAAAUUUAUUUCAGCAUGAGCUUUCGUGAGCUACAGCUCACUUCUUCAGAUGCACAGAAUGG